GACGAACGCUGGCGGCGUGCUUAACACAUGCAAGUCGAACGGAAAGGCCCUGCUUGCAGGGUACUCGAGUGGCGAACGGGUGAGUACACGUGGGUGAUCUGCCCUGCACUUCGGGAUAAGCCUGGGAAACUGGGUCUAAUACCGGAUAGGAGCCAUUUUUAGUGUGAUGGUUGGAAAGUUUUUUUCGGUGUAGGAUGAGCUCGCGGCCUAUCAGCUUGUUGGUGGGGUAAUGGCCUACCAAGGCGGCGACGGGUAGCCGGCCUGAGAGGGUGGACGGCCACAUUGGGACUGAGAGACGGCCCAGACUCCUACGGGAGGCAGCAGUGGGGAAUAUUGCACGAUGGGCGCAAGCCUGAUGCAGCGACGCCGCGUGGGGGAUGACGGCCUUCGGGUUGUAAACUCCUUUCGCUAGGGACGAAGCUUUUUGUGACGGUACCUAGAUAAGAAGCACCGGCUAACUACGUG
rnacentral:rRNA from 1 species